UUAACUUCCCCACAAUUGAUUUCCCAUUAUUCUCUUUAUUAUCUUCUAUGGCAGAUGAUCUUCAUCUUCGCUAAGAUAAAGGGAACCGCUCAUGUGUGAGGACAUCUGUGCCGUCGAGGGGAAAGGUGCUUCCGGACGACACCAUGGUGCAUGCUCGUGGGAUGGUGUCGUACCAUCCCAGUCCACGGGGAAGACGGAGUACAACGCCGACGUCGCUAGCUUCUGGUCAGACCGAUGGAUCGGCGGCGACGGCGCUCGGCAAAACAUCACCAUUCAAGGAAGGGAUGCGAUCUACGUGAGCAAAUACAUGGUGUACCUGCAGAUGAAGAUGACGCUAGCCAUCCUAUGCAGGUUCUAGCUUGUGAAGGGCCACCCCGUCAAAUACUGCAUGUUGACCAUCUUCUCCAUGGCGCACAAUUUCAAGCUCGAGUUGCAGAUUGGCUAUUGACUAUUUAAAUUUUCUCUAGCAUAUUGUAUCAAUAGUGUUACUUAAGGUAACUCCAAUUCCUCAGUUUUGUUAGCAGGAUUGCACUGAUUUUUCUGAAGACAUGUGAAGAAAUUAUCUUGCACCAAUUCACCAUAUCGUGGCUUCAAUAAUCUUCUUCGUGUUCAACACAUCUUCUAUUUGUGAUUACUGAUGUAUUCUGGGUGUAUCUCUAAUAAUCAAAAUAGUUUUUGCAGGUUACUUUUGUUGUUAAAUUCUUCUUAAUGAUGGACAACUCUAACCUGCUAGCCACGUUAUGGUGAUACAAAUCUCCUUUGAUGGUUCUCAUAUGUGCACUGGUGUUUCCACGAAGCAAACAACUUUAGAUUUGGGCACUAUAUUGAACCAUAUGAGAGUUUGAACACAAAGUUGUUGUUGCCGAGUGUGCAAGGUCAACUCGAGCUAUGGAGGCCGAUGCCUUGUCGUCGUCUCAAUGCUCAUGAGAUGAUCAAGGAUGAAUAAAACCUGGACAAUCUUUUGAAGAAAGGCGUCAAGUGUCUCCAAUAGGAGUUGAUGGUGAUGCGGGCUACCCUCUCCAUGGUGCUUGAGGUGCCUCAGAAUCAGCUUGAUGCACAAAUCAAGGCCUAGGAAGGAUAAGUGAGAGAAUUCCCAUACGACAUGGAGCACUACGUUAAUGAUUUUAUGUUACGCAAGCUAGAGAAUGAAGACUGACCACAAGAAACCAUGAACAGAGUCAGGAAGUUCAUCGAUGUGAUCAAAGGUUAUUUCCUCACAGGAAAUCAUCUCUGUCAAACCUCUGAGGCCAUCCAAGAAGACCAAGACCUCGCCAAGGACUUGAGAGACCUACAUCAAUGGUACGAACUUGACAUGCGUAGUUGUGCAACUACCAUCGACCCUCGCAUGGUUGCUAUGUAUAAAGAUGUGGGGGAGCUUGUUGCAAGACUGAGUUAUACUCCCUCCGUUCGGAAUUACUCGU